rnacentral:tRNA from 1 species
GCGGGUGUGGCGGAAUUGGCAGACGCGCCAGAUUUAGGUUCUGGUGGCUUUACCGUGCAGGUUCAAGUCCUGUCACCCGCACCA